rnacentral:rRNA from 1 species
CAGCCGCCGCGGUAAUACGAAGGGUGCAAGCGUUACUCGGAAUUACUGGGCGUAAAGCGUGCGUAGGUAGUGGUUUAAGUCCGUUGUGAAAGCCCUGGGCUCAACCUGGGAAUUGCAGUGGAUACUGGGUAACUAGAGUGUGGUAGGGGAUAGUGGAAUUUCCGGUGUAGCAGUGAAAUGCGUAGAGAUCGGAAGGAACAUCUGUGGCGAAGGCGACUAUCUGGGACAACACUGACGCUGAGGCACGAAAGCGUGGGGAGCAAACAGGAUUAGAUACCCGAGUAGUCCCUGUCUCUUAUAC